UUCAGUAGGGGGCCAGUGAGAGGGGAGUCAAAGAAGGAAUACUAGUUUUUGACCUGAGUGACUAGACAAAGGUGCCGUUAAAAGAAAUGAAGCUCACUGAAGGAAGUCCUCGUAGCGGCUUGUUUGUGAGGGAAAAUGCCAUUUGGUUUUGGUCAUUUGGAGUUGGAAGGCAUUGUUGGAUAUCCAGGUAUGAGUAAAGCUUGGGUGGUAAGAGUUGGCGAUUCCCCUUUAGCAUGGACAUGAUGGCUGAAGUCAGAGGAUUAUUCCAGGAAGAGCACAGACGGGCAGAUUCAUGCGGGGUCUCAAUGUGUUUGUCACUGUGUCCAGGGGACCAGUGUUUAGAUAAUAAUGGGGUUGAGAUCACAGAGGAUGCUUUUGGAGCCCUUAAGUUUUUAGGGGGUAUAUGCACGUGUGUGUGUGUGUGUGUGUGUGUGACAAAAAGAUACUGUCCUUCAAUGAGUUAGUGAUUUCCUGUUUUAUCUUCUGCAGUUUUUUUAGUGGAAGGCAGGGGGCAGCAGAGUCCCACUUUUCAAAGGAGAUUCCGGCCACAACUUCAGAAGAAACGUUGCUCCCCACCCCCUCCCGCAACUUGUAUCUUUUUUGUUAACGAUACCAUAUCCCCUUUUUAAAAGUUGGAGAACAUAAUUUGAUUCCAAAAUUUCUGUCUUUGGGAACAGCAUUCGGAUCUGAAGGCUAACUUUGGGCAAGCGUGCCUCCAAGCUGAAUGUAUCAACUUCUUUUAAAGAAAAGGAGUUAAGAACUUAUUUACUGGUGAUGGCCUGAUGCUAUUUCAGUAGAAGGCUUGGUGUUGGACAGGAAUUGCAGAUUUUUAGUGUGAGGGCUGACUCUAUCCUGGAGACUACCGUUGGUAUUUAAAGAAAAGAAAUUAGGCCCGCCAGAGCCACAUUCUUGAGAUACCUUUACUAUUACAGUUAUAGUCAUGGGCUCUGCUCUGCUGUCUUCCAGCAGGUGAUGUCAUCGCUGGUCACAGAACAGUGGGGCCUACUGCUGACCUGCAGCGUGCAGGUCACUCUGGGCCCCAGGGCUGUGCUCCCAGGCUUGCUUCUCUGUGGUCUGCUUUGUUACACACACAAGGACCACAUCUACCUGUAUAUUGCUGUGUCUGGCACAGGAGAAAGAACUGACUAAACUCAUUCAUAUGAAGACAUAAGUGACUGCAGCCCCUCUCAAGAUCAAUUGCAUUUUAAUAGGUAUUUAAUGCUGUAGCUAAAGGAAGAAAGCUCUAAAUGUGGGAGUUGAGUACCAAGGACAGGGUGACUGAUCCUGUCCAAAAACAUGUCAUAAAUCCUCCUUGAUCCCUACUCUCCAUGCUUGGAAGAAUGGUGCUAUUUCUGUUAUAAUUGUGCAUUAUAUCUACAUUCUCAUACCUCUGGACAAGGUAAAUAUAGGCUAGUUGUCCAAUUUGUAUUUAUCUGAUUUCACUAAGAGUGGU